GAGAGAGAGAGAAAGAGAGAGAGAGGCAGACAGCCACAGGACAGAAUGGCUAACAACAGCAUGGAGGGGUACCCCACAGAAAUGUAGCUGCCUGGGUCCAGUAGGGUGGGGUAGGUGGGAGCCUGGGGUGGGGCAGAGGGCAUGGGAGGGACAGGCAUUCUCUUGCCGCUGUUGCUGCUGCUGCUGGCCUGGGCUGGAGCAGGAGUGGUCUGGAGGCCCCCAAAGGGAAAGUGUCCCCUACGCUGUUCCUGUUCCAAGGACAGUGCCCUGUGUGAGGGCUCCCCGGAGCUGCCUGAGAGCUUCUCUGCCACACUCCUGUCACUCUCCCUUGUCAGGAUGGGGGUCCCUCAGCUGAAGGCCGGCAGCUUCCUGAAGAUACCGUCACUACACCUGCUCCUCUUCACGUCCAACACCUUCUCUGUGAUUGAAGACGAUGCCUUCCUCGGACUGUCCUACUUGCAGUAUCUCUUCAUUGAGGACAAUAAGAUUGGCUCCAUCUCCAAGAACGCUCUGAGAGGCCUCCGCUCCCUCGUGCACCUAAGCCUGGCCAACAACCACCUCGAGGCUCUCCCGAGAUUCCUGUUCCGAGGCCUGGAGACUCUGACUCAUGUGGACCUCCGUGGGAACCCAUUCCAGUGUGACUGCCGAGUGCUUUGGUUGCUUCAGUGGAUGCCUACCGUGAAUGCCAGUGUGGGCACGGGGGACUGUGCCGGCCCCUCUGCCCUUGCCCACAUGCAGCUUGGUGACCUCGACCCCAAGAAGUUCAAAUGCAGAGCCAUAGAGCUGUCCUGGUUCCAGACUGUUGGGGAGCCGGCCCUGAGCGUGGAGCCCUUCUCCUACCAGGGGGAACCCCACGUGGUCCUGGCACAGCCCUUUGCUGGUCGCUGCUUGAUCCUCACCUGGGACUAUAGCCUGCAGCGCUUCCGGCCUGAGGAGGAGCUGUCAGCGCCCUCCGUCGUGUCCUGCAAGCCUCUGGUACUGGGCCAGCGCCUCUUCAUCCUGGCUGCCCGCCUGUGGGGAGGAUCUCAGCUAUGGGCUCGUCCCAGCCCAGACCUGCGUCUGGCCCCGAUGCAGGUCGUGGCCCCUCGAAGGUUGCUGCGGCCCAAUGAUGCUGAGCUCCUGUGGCUGGAAGGACAGCCCUGCUUCGUUGUGGCCGAUGCCUCCAAGGCAGGCACCACCACGCUGCUGUGCCGUGAUGGGCUGGGUUUCUAUCCACGCCAGAGCCUGCAUGCCUGGCACCGUGACACGGACGCAGAGGCCCUGGAGUUGGAUGGCCGCCCUCAUCUGCUGCUGGCCUCCGCCUCCCAGAGGCCGGUGCUCUUCCACUGGUUUGGUGACCGCUUUGAGAGGCGCACAGACAUCCCCGAGGCAGAGGACGUCUAUGCCACGAAGCACUUCCAGGCUGGUGGAGAUGUGUUCCUGUGUCUCACCCGAUACAUCGGGGACUCCAUGGUCAUGCGCUGGGAUGGCUCCAUGUUCCGACUGCUACAGCAACUUCCAUCUCGUGGUGCCCAUGUCUUCCAGCCACUGCUCAUCACCAGGGACCAGCUGGCUAUCCUGGGCAGCGACUUUGCCUUCAGCCAGGUCUUCCGCCUUGAGCCUGACAAGGGGCUCCUGGAGCCGCUGCAGGAGCUAGGGCCCCCGGCCUUGGUAGCGCCCCGAGCCUUUGCGCACGUCACUGUAGCGGGGAGACGCUUCCUAUUUGCAGCGUGCUUCAAGGGCCCCACGCAGAUCUACCAUCAUCAUGAGUUGGAUCUCAGUGCCUGAGGCUGGGCGGGACCUUGGCUGUGGGAAUGGUUGGGGGCAACAUGGGAUAUCUGGGUGCCCUCAUAGGCCUGGUCUCCUGGCCACUCUUGGGGUCAUGGCCAGUCCCGUGAGAUGCAGACCACCAGCCAAGUGCGUCAGCCUGGAUCAGGGAAAACCACUUCUGUAAGGAUCUGCACCCAUUAGGGGCAAAUGAGCCUGGAAUGUCUGCUGCCUGUUAAUCUGACGCCAUAUGUUGGCUGGGGACAGAUGCUCGCAAAGACAACGGCUUGGGAGCUCAGCCUGGACAUAACAUGGAUCUGGGACCCAGAAGUCAAGUGGAGAAUCUGCAGAGCUCCACGAGGUCUGGAAGCCCCGCCCUCAACGUCCCCUUAGUCCUGCAGAGAGUGCGUUCCUUUCCCCUCGAACGCGACCCCACCAAUGGAGGAGUAAGUGUCCCCAUGACGUCACAGUUGCUAGGCAGUUUUUGCAGGACCUGAGCCCCUCUCUCUGCUACUUGUGCGCAUGUCUACUUCCAAAGGCCGAUUCCUGUCGGGCCCCGGCUCCUGUGCGUAUGCAGGAAGAUAGGGGAAAGUAAAGAUAGAGGUGUUUCGGAAAGCCCCGGGUCCCGGAUUCCCGUACUGUGACAGGGACCAGGACAGGAUGGUGGAGAAACUGAGGCACGAGGCACUCCAGUCACUUGCUACAUCACUGCUAGACUUCCAGAUCCAUCUGGGAAGACAGUCUAGGGAGGUGGCCAUCUGCCCAGGGGCCGAGCCUUGGUCAGGCAGAAAGCAGUUGGAGAAUCCUGUUCGCAGGCCACAUGACCAAUUCAGGAAGGGGCCAAUCAAAACUACUGGGACACUGUAAACUGAUGUUCAGGCCUCCAUGGGAUUCUUUCUGCUGAGCAGAAGCUGAGUGGCUGCCGGUUAUGUUCAGGAGGAAUCUCGUCUGCAGGAGGAGCCAACAGGGUGGGAAGCAACUCAGAGCCGCCACCACAGAGCUGAUGACCUGGCUGGAGCACUUGAAAGAGUCAGGACUGAAACCACCCAUGGGUGACGGAAGUCAACUCAGUGAGCUGAGGUGCUUUUCUGGAAGUAACAUGUGGAUGUCUGGCAUGCGGAGUGGUGGGGAGGCCAGUAAGUGUGGGGAGAAACAGGACAAAUGCCAUUUGCCACAAGCCACUAGGUGUCCCGAGGCCUGCACGAAUAGGCUGUGUCCCUGACACUGCUGGGUGAGGCUCCCUUCUAUCCCCCACAGGAUCUGUGUCACCUGUCCUCAGGGCAUAGAGGUCACAGACUCAGUUCUCCGAGUAUACUUGGUCCCCAGCUGGCUCAUGACAGGUCUGGAAGAGCCUGUCAUAUGUAACCAGCAUUCUACAGCAGGCUGGCUGACUGGUACCUGUCCUCCCUGUUGUGAGCACAGAGGACUGGACCAUGAGAGAGACCAGCUUGGGAAGCUUGGGACUUUGUAGUUAUGUGUGACAGAGGCAGCCAGUGAGGACACAGAGGGGCUCCCCUGAAUCCCUCUACCCAGGCCACAUAGGCCACCAGCAUAGGUUUUCAGGUAUCAUGACAGAUACAUGGUGACACCAGUCACAGGAGACUAAAAAGCCAGCAUCAGUCCACAACACUGCCCCCCAAGACUCCGAAGUGGACACACACUAAGGCCAGUGGUAAACUGGCCUGGCUCCUGUUCACCCGAAAAUACACAUGGGCCCAUGUCCUCAUCAGGGCCUGAGACUCCCUUAGAACCUUUGGAAUGUGACAUAUGCUGUCCUUGGAUUUCAGGGUCUGCUCCCAGCCCCUGCUUGAACUGACUUGUAUCUUCCCAGGAGUCUUUACCCUUACCUCGGGGAUUGUCAAUCACACUGGCUGUGGGGUGGAGGUUCACACAGUCCACCCACCCUGUAAAGACCAGCCCAGUAGACAUGAUGUGCACGCAGCUGCCACCACCCCUUGGGUUGUGAAGACUAAAUCUUCAAAGGUGAGUCCCUGGGGUCCCUGGACACCAGCUGUGCUUCUCAAGACUCCAUGGUUCCAGACCCCAGAAGGCUCCCACAAGCCCUCAUUGCACAGAGAGAGAGAGAGAGAGAGAGAGAGAGACUCAUUAUCAGCACCAAGCAUACAAUACUCAGGGCAGAACUGUGACCUCUCAGAGCCCCAGAGUUUCUUCAGAAACCUCCCUCCCCUAGGACAGGGCUGUAUCUCCUUUGAUCCUAGGGUAAAACAUAGUUUUUGUGCGGUUCACAACCUAUGCAACUGUGUGCAACAAUCUUGGCACCAUUGCACCAUCCUCCGCAUUAUUAUUAUUAUUAUUAUUAUUAUUACUACUGCAGCAAGGUUCCCGACUGAACCUGCCACUCACCUAUCUGACUAGGUUGGCUGGCAGGUGAGUUCCGGGGGGGUCCCGUCUCCAUCUCCCCAGCACAGACGCAUACCACACUGUAACCAGCCUUUUGUGUGUGUUCUGGGAAUCCAACUCAGACCCUCAUACUUGCAUGGC